rnacentral:lncRNA from 1 species
AGAAUUUCGGGAGACCGAGCAUUGAAUUCAUUAACCUUUUUGGUGAUCUCUAUGGUGGCUUUUCUCAAUUCACCAUCGGUUCUUCCUUCAACAGAUUUCAGCUUGCUUUGUUGGUUUUCUUGAUUCAUACUUGAUUCUCCCGUCUGGAUGAUGUUUGGUUUUCCAGACACAAGUAAGCAUUUCAACUCUUUCUUUUUCUUUUCGCUCUUUUGAGCAACUUCAAUUGGUUCAUUGACCUUGAAUCUCUUUUGGUUAUUUUCGGAACUUCCUUUGUUCACUUCCUUGUUCACCAGCUUCCUUCUUUCAGCGUUGGACUUUUCUUCUUGACAUACUACAGGUUGAUCAUUUGAUUCUCCUUUAUCAAUUCUGAUCCACUCUCUUUGGUUGGACAUGUUGAUUUUAACUCCAGAUUUAGGAGACUCUGAGAUUGUAGACCUCUUUUUGUAUGGCAGUAGAUCUGUUGGAAUUGAGUACUUGCACUUUUCACACAGCUGAAACUCAGGCUUAGCUUCAUCUUUUAUUGCAGCCAUAGUUGCUUCAUUUCUUGUGGGCCAUUGGAUAUGGAAGCUUUUCCCGAUCAUCUUUAUGUCAGCAACAAGUCUUCCAGUUUGAUCACGAAUGACACAGCUCCCUUCAAAGAAGUUAAUCUCGUAUCCACGAUCAAUCAUUUGAGAGACGCUCAGGAGAUUCUUGGUAAUGUUGGGUACUAGGAAAACAUCACGAAUGAUUCUUUUCCCAUUGGUGGUUUCUACCUCAAUAUCUCCCUUGCCUUUUGUCAUCAGCUCAUCUCCAUUUCCUAUACGAAUAGGUACAUUGAAGCUGGUGUCAAGGUUAGUAAAGAUUGCUUCAUUUGGAGUCAUGUGCUUUGUGCAUCCGCUAUCAAUAAGCCAACUGUUGAGAUCAUUUGCAUCUCCGUUUUCUUGUCUUGCAGUGAACAUAUGGUAGUUCUCCUCCUUCACUUCUUCUUUCUCUUGGGUAACAUUUGCUUCCUCAGAUUUCUUGGCUUGGCAGUCUCUUGAGAAGUGACCAGAUUUACCACAGACAUAACAGUUCCUCAACCUACUAUGUUUCUCAAAACACAUGUCUUCAUUGUGAUUAUCCCUUUUACAGUGACCACACCACCUUCUCUUUCUGUAACUUGACUGACCUUGAUUUGUUCUGCCAUUGUUCUCCAUGUUUGGAUUCUUGAAACGGGCAUAGAAGGCACCUUCAGAAUCUUCUUCAUCUUCUGGAAAGAACUUCUUUUCGUGUGCCUCCAAUGAACCAAUUAGUUCAGCAUAAGUGACAGUCUUCAGAUCUUUGGUUUCUUCCAUCAAUGAGGACAAGGAGGCAUAGCUUUUGGGCAUAGAAGCAAGCAUCUUAACAACCAAAUCAAA